CCUACGGGUGGCAGCAGUGGGGAAUAUUGCGCAAUGGGCGAAAGCCUGACGCAGCGACGCCGCGUGAGGGAUGAAGGUCUUCGGAUCGUAAACCUCUGUCAGCAGAGAAGAACGGUCACUGUGCUAAUCAGCAGUGAAUUGACGGUACCUGCACAGGAAGCACCGGCUAACUCCGUGCCAGCAGCCGCGGUAAUACGGAGGGUGCGAGCGUUAAUCGGAAUUACUGGGCGUAAAGCGCUCGUAGGCGGUCUGUCAAGUCAAGGGUGAAAUCCCCGCGCUCAACGUGGGAACUGCCUUUGAAACUGGCAAACUGGAGUGUGUGAGAGGAUAGGGAAAUUCCAGGUGUAGGAGUGAAAGCCGUAGAUAUCUGGAGGAACAUCAGGGGCGAAGGCGACUAUCUGGCACAUAACUGACGCUGAGGAGCGAAAGCGUGGGUAGCAAACAGGAUUAGAUACCCCAGUAGUC
rnacentral:rRNA from 1 species